CGACCCACGGGGAGUUGCCUGUCCCUUUAAAUGGCAUGUACCAAGUCCUUCCAGGUUACAUCUCCUCCCUGAGUCCUAGACGUUAGAAUCCCCUCGUCGAAGAUCCGAUACGUGGAAACGUGGAGACGGUGUUGUAUUGUGCGGGAGUUCUGGGCCAACAGGGAGUGAGAGAGGGCAGGGAGGAGAAGCGCGCCGCUGAGGCCCUCCCCGCCUCGCGCGGUAGUCCAGUCCCAAGAUGGCGGCCACCAUGAAGAAGGCGGCUGCAGAAGAUGUCAACGUUACUUUCGAAGAUCAACAAAAGAUAAACAAAUUUGCACGGAAUACAAGUAGAAUCACAGAGCUGAAGGAAGAAAUAGAUGUAAAAAAG